AUGGCUGGCUCUGCUGUGCUGCUCAUUUCGCUCCUGUCGGCUGUCGCCCCCCUACCCUCUGAAGCCCUCAACGUGAGAGGCCAUCUGCUGAAAUCAAAGACGUUCCGUUCUCCGCCCAUCUUAUUGGGACCUGGAUCAGUCUCAAACAAGUACCACCAUGAUGUCGACUUCCCCCGAGGCCACCUUGCAGUCAAGAGCUUUGAUGCAGAGGUCGUCGAUGAGAAUGGCGUCCCUGUCCCGCUCCAUGAGACUUACCUGCAUCACUGGGUUGCAGAACCAUACUAUGCUCUGAAGAACAGUCAGAGCCCCGAUACGCAAAAUCUUCCAAAAGGGAUGCUUAAAAGGAAUGAUGGAGUGUGCAAGACCACACUAGGCCAGUACUUUGGGCUCGGUUCCGAGACUCGCCACACUGCCACAUGGGUUCCUGAUCCUUAUGGAAUUGAGAUUGGCAAUGAAGACAAGGCCCCUGAAGGCUAUGAGGAGAAAUGGUUGCUCAAUAUUCAUGCCAUCGACACAAGGGGCGUGGUCGACAAGCCUAGCUGCACCGAGUGCAAGUGCGACUUUUACAAUGUCACAAUUGAUGAGUAUGGGCGCACAAUCUCAAAGAACUACACUGGUGGGCUAUUUUGCUGCUAUGAUCAGACCCAGUGUCGGGUCAAAGAAGGGUUCAAUGGCGAGGUGCGGAAGUUGUUCUUGCAGUACACCGUGACGUGGCUCGACUGGACUGAUGCGGUGGUGCCUGUCAAGAUUUACAUAUUUGACGUUACGGAUACCGCUAUGCUCGAUGGAACUCCUGAACAUUCUUGCAAGGUUGAGUAUCAAGUCGAGGAAUGCAGCGCAGAAAACCGAGCCAACAAUGAGUGCAUCCAUACUAAGACUGCUAGAGCGGCCUUGCCGCGUGGAGGAGAUAUCGUGUUCAGUGUUGCGCACCAGCACUCCGGAGGAGUCGGUGCUUCUUUGCAUGGCCAGGACGGACGCCUUCUUUGUGAAUCGCUUCCAACUUACGGCACGGGGAAGGAGGCAGGGAACGAGGCGAACUACAUCGUUGGCAUGUCGACGUGCUACCCUAAGCCAGGAUCCAUCAAGGUCAGCGACGGCGAGGUGCUGACCAUCGUCUCCAACUACAGCAGCGACCGCCAGCACACCGGCGUCAUGGGCCUGGUCUACAUCCUCGUGGCCGAGCCGCAGCAGCCGACUCCGGCGCCAUCCCUGUGCUUCAGUUUCCCAGUCCCAUGGUGCCUACCGGCAUGGAUGUCUAGCAACAUGUGA
rnacentral:rRNA from 1 species